GGCCUCAAAUUAGGUGGAGGUAAUAGUUCUGGAGUUCUCGGAGGUAAUGGAAAACUUGGAGAUCUCAGUCUAGGCGAUCUUGGUCUAGGUGGUAA